rnacentral:rRNA from 1 species
UACGACUACAUAUCAGGCAUAUCAAUAAGCGGAGGAAAAGAAACUAACAAGGAUUCCCCUAGUAACGGCGAGUGAAGCGGGAAGAGCUCAAAUUUGAAAUCUUCAAGGGUUUCCCUUGACGAAUUGUAGUUUAUAGAAGUGUUUUCUGUUAGAGAGGUGGUAAAAGCUCUUUGGAAUAGGACAUCAUAGAGGGUGAGAAUCCCGUAUUUGAUCACUUUCUACUAACGUUGUGAUACACUUUCAACGAGUCGGAUUGUUUGGGAAUGCAGUCCAAAAUGGGUGGUAAAUUUCAUCUAAAGCUAAAUAUUGGCGAGAGACCGAUAGCGAACAAGUACCGUGAGGGAGAGAUGAAAAGAACUUUGAAAAGAGAGUUAAACAGUACGUGAAAUUGUCAAAAGGGAAGCGUUUGACACCAGUGUUGUUUUUCCGAAAAUCAAUCACGAAUGGCGGGAUUCUAAGUUUCAUGACCUUAAAAGCUGUUCUUCCUUUUUCUUGUUAUUUUUAAUGCACUUUUCGGUUAACAAGUCAACAUCAAUUUCUUUUGUUGUAAAAAGGUCAGUAGGAAGGUGGCUUUACUUUCGGAGUAAAGUGUUUAUAGCCUUUUACCUCUGCAAUCGGAGAGAUUGAGGUCUGCAGCGUAGAUCCUUCGGGGUUAGAUACGUUUGUGCUAAGUUAUAGGCUUUUCAUAGACAACUUGUUGACUAUGUUUAGUCUUGUAGCUUACUCGCAUGAUGCUAUUUUACCUACGCUUAGGAUGUUGAACGCGCACAGAGUCUC